GUGGGGAAUCUUCCGCAAUGGACGAAAGUCUGACGGAGCAACGCCGCGUGAGUGAUGAAGGUCUUCGGAUUGUAAAACUCUGUUGUCAGGGACGAAUGUGCGAACGUUGAAUAAGCGUUUGUAUUGACGGUACCUGACGAGGAAGCCACGGCUAACUACGUGCCAGCAGCCGCGGUAAUACGUAGGUGGCAAGCGUUGUCCGGAAUUAUUGGGCGUAAAGAGCAUGUAGGCGGGCUUUUAAGUCCGACGUGAAAAUGCGGGGCUUAACCCCGUAUGGAGUUGGAUACUGGAAGUCUUGAGUGCAGGAGAGGAAAGGGGAAUUCACAGUGUAGCGGUGAAAUGCGUAGAUAUUGGGAGGAACACCAGUGGCGAAGGCGCCUUUCUGGACUGUGUCUGACGCUGAGAUGCGAAAGCCAGGGUAGCAAACGGGAUUAGAUACCCUAGUAGUCC
rnacentral:rRNA from 1 species